GCCCUAUAAAUACCCAUUAUCCCUUCAUUCGCUCGUUCAUCAAAACCAACCGAGAGGAAACCAUUUUGUAGUCAGCACAACUUCUCAAUGGCUAGCAGAGAGGAUGCUACGAAUAUGUUAGGGCCAUGGGGUGGUUCUGGUGGGACAGCAUGGUCGUUUGAGAAGGCCCAAGCCAUCACCAAAAUCAAAAUUAGCGGGGGGGAUGUCAUCGAUUCAAUCAGCUUCCAGUAUAUGGAUGGCAAGACAGCCCGCUGGUCCCCCACGUACGGAGGUGCCGGGGGCAAGCCUACAGAGAUUGAGCUUGGACCGGCCGAGUUCAUCAUCUCUAAUGAAGGGCUAUUACGGUGCUUACAAUGGAAUGACAAUUAUAUACUCACUCACUUUUGUUACCACGGUUCGUGAGUACGGCCCAUAUGGCCAAGAGCAAGGAACUCAAUUUUCUGUUCCCAAAGGUACAGGUUGGAUCGAUGGCUUCUUUGGACGCUCGGGUACACUACUUGAUGCAAUUGGGGUGUACAAAAAAACACCUUUUG